ensembl:lncRNA
AUGCAGUGUCAAGAAACGGAGCCUCCACUUUGUUCCAAGCUGUGUUUCCGUGAAGGAUGCUUCUCAUAUGUCCCUUCUGGGAAUGAGACGGGCUGGUUGGCAGUGCACAGCAGCAGAGGGCCUUCUGUUCAUGAUGCCACUGUAGCUGCUUUGAUUGACAGGGUGCAGACUGUGAAGCCCCUCCUCCUGGAAGUCUCAGGCAUACCGAAUCUGAGCAAAGAAUUUUUUUUAUGGUUUUCAUUACAUUUAGCGGGAACUCUGGUCCUCAGGGUCUGCAUAAUAUAUCUGUUAUGGCCAACGGAUACCUCACCUGCUACAUAGAUGCAAUAUUACCUGCUGCUGGAUUGUACCAUUUAAGUAUGCUUACUAUCUGCAAAGCAACAAAUAUACGGGAAGAAUAAAAUAGCUUUUGUCACCA